GUGCAAAAUAUAAGGUUGACAAUGGCCCAUUUAAAAGGCCAUUCGUCAGUGAAACACAAAGGUGCUUAUCUAAAAUAUUACACAAAUGAAUGAAUUUGUAUUUUACUAUAAGUAUGAAUCUUACUUCCUUUAUUCCUCCCUUACAGAGUUCACAAUAAUCAAGUGUGGAUUAAGUUGUCGGACGGCUACACAUUUCCAUUGUUGCUAUUGUGCAGCAACACUUAGAAAUCGAUUGCAAUUGGUAAGGCACCUACAAAUACACCAGGAGGAGGUGCAAGCUGCAGCCCCUUCAUAGCACUUUGUGGCCCCCGCUCAGCUCCCUGUGGCCCCCACUCAGCUCCCUGUGGCCCCCGCUCAGCUCCCUGUGGCCCCCACUCAGCUCCCAUUGGCUCCUGCAGAAUGUUCCACGGCCACUAAAGCAUCAAGUGAGCAAAAUAAAUUCUGUUGUCCUCAUUGCAAAUUGAUUUGAAACAAAAGAAACUUCAAAACACACUGCAGGAGAAAACACACCAACCUCCUUGAGACGAUAACGAAGGACCGAUUUUUGGACUGUCAGUGUAUCGAUGGUACACAUGGUGUGUUUGCAGUUGAAAAAUCUUUUAGUGGUCCUUCAACACCCAUACAUGUAAUCAAGAAUAUGUGGGGGCCAGCACAGAAGAUCAUCUGUGAGGUCGACCAGUGUCGUUUGAAUGCUGACUUUGCUCAAAGGAGCGGGAUGUUGCCUUUCGAUUGCCACCACAUCCAAUCAUUGGUGUCACGGUCAAACGGUGACACUCUGUACAUUGUAUCGGGGCCAAUUGUGAUUUCAGAGAGGUAUGCGUAAAUCGUGACACAUUAUGCUUAGUGUACAAGGUGUUAUUUUUUAACAAAACAUAUUAACAUCUUCCUGCAUUUCCUUCUUCAAAGGAAAACAUGCUGGAAAUUAGAGAUGGUGGUGUCUCGCUCUCCUGCAGAACUUCCCUUAGCCGUCUGAAGAAGACCGAUUGCAGGACAGAAAACGGCGACGAGUGCAAGGAGGGCUACAGACGCUGGGAAAUUGACAGAACUGGAAACCGGGAACCGGGUUGCUUGUUAUGGGCCAGAAAAAUACCCUGAUACUUGCCAUUGUUAAACAUUUAUGGAAGCUUAAGGAAUGUAUUUGGCUAGGCUAGGCAAAAAAAAAUAAAAAUCUUUGCAGAUCAAACAUUUUUUGCCUGGGGUGAAAAUAAAAAUCAAUGAUGCAAA